GAAGAGCAAAAUGCCAAUUCUACCACAGUGAACCUUUGGACACCAGUGGUCGAUCACCUGAAGCUGAAGUCGAAAAAUAUGUUUAGAGAAUUCAAUACCCUUAACUCCCAAAUGCCAACUAGACCCUAGCGUGCCCCACAUUGCAAUUCACCUUCACUCAACAGUUUCUAAUUGUCCUUGUCCUUGUUUCAAACUCCCUGCCCUACACUGUACCCAGCAGCAUGUACAUGCGACACACUAGGAUGUGAACGUGAGCAGUGAGGAGGGACAAAGGCUGGCUGUUACCUCAUCAGCAGAUUCAGCCAGCUUGAAAAGGGUGAGAGAUAAGCAGCGUCAGGACAGAAAGAAGACGAUGAAAGAAAGAACCAAAAAAUAAAUAAAAAGUCGGAGAUGACUAUAAAAGGAUCUCUGCAAGCCUGUGCAUCAAGCUACAUCAUGUCAGUACGAUACAGGGUGUCCCGCUUGAAAAUAGCCCCUCCUCCGUGUCACUGAGGCACUCGAAGAACUCUUCCUCACUGUCACUCCAGGAUUCCCAGGACUUCCACUGGUUGGCCUCUCCUCUCU